rnacentral:rRNA from 1 species
GACGAACGCUGGCGGCGUGCUUAACACAUGCAAGUCGAGCGGUAAGGCCCUUUCGGGGGUACACGGGCGGCGAACGGGUGAGUAACACGUGGGUGACCUGCCCUCAGCUCUGGGAUAAGCCUGGGAAACCGGGUCUAAUACCGGAUAUGACUCCAUGACGCAUGUUGUGGGGUGGAAAGCCUUGUGCGGCUGAGGAUGGGCCCGCGGCCUAUCAGCUUGUUGGUGGGGUGAUGGCCUACCAAGGCGACGACGGGUAGCCGGCCUGAGAGGGCGACCGGCCACACUGGGGACUGAGACACGGCCCAGACUCCUACGGGAGGCAGCAGUGGGGAAUCUUGCGCAAGUGGGCGAAGCCUGACCCAGCGACGCCGCGUGGGGAUGAAGGCCUUCGGGUCGUAA